CCUGAACGCUGGCGGCGUGGCUAAGACAUGCAAGUCGCACGGAGGUAGCAAUACCUUAGUGGCGAACGGGUGAGUAAUGAAUCGCUAAUGUGCCCCGGACUCUGGGAUAGCUGCCCGAAAGGGCAGGUAAUACCAGAUGAUAUAACCGAACCGCAUGGUUUGGUUCUCAAAGGUCCGCCGGUCUGGGAGCAGGCGAUUUCGUAUCAGCUAGUUGGUGAGGUAACGGCNCACCAAGGCGACGACGCGUAGCCGGACUGAGAGGUUGGCCGGCCACAUUGGGACUGAGACACUGCCCAGACUCCUACGGGGGGCUGCAGUAACGAAUCUUCCGCAAUGCACGAAAGUGUGACGGAGCGACGCCGCGUGUAGGACGAAGCCCUUCGGGUGUAAACUACUGUCAGGGGAAGAAAGUUCUGAUCUACCCCAGAGGAAGGGACGGCUAACUCUGUGCCA
rnacentral:rRNA from 1 species